rnacentral:tRNA from 1 species
AUUUAUAUAGUUUAAAAAAAACAUUUUAUUUUCAAUAAAAAAAUGAAAAUUAUUUUCUAUAAAUU